rnacentral:tRNA from 1 species
AAGAUUUUAGGUUAAGAAAACCAUAAGCCUUCAAAGUUUAAAUUAAAUUUAAUUUAAGUCUUU